rnacentral:tRNA from 2 species
AGCCCCGGAGCCUUUUAGGGCUCUUCUUCAAAUUUGCAUUUUGACGUAAGAUACCGCAGGACUUU